GACGAACGCUGGCGGCGUGCUUAACCCAUGCAAGUCGAACGAAGUGGCGAACGGGUGAGUAAUACGUGUGUAACCUGCCCUCCUUUUUGGGAUCCGCCUUUGAAACGGGGUCUAAUACCGAAUCAAGGGGGAUGGGCUCGCGGCCUAUCAGCUUGUUGGUGGGUAGAUGGCCUACCAAGGCGGUGACGGGUAGCCGGCCUGAGAGGGUGAUCGGCCACAUGGGGACUGAGAUACGGCCCAGAGGCCGACGGGAGGGAGCAGUGGGGGCUAUGGCACAAUGGGCGAAAGCGUGAUGCAGCGACGCCGCGUGGGGGAUGAAGGCUUUCGGGUUGUAAACCUCUUUCGCAAGCGAACGGGUAGGUGGAGAAGAAGCGCCGGCUAACUACGUGCCAGCAGCCGCGGUAAUUC
rnacentral:rRNA from 1 species